GGUCCGGUAGCUCAGUUGGUUAGAGCAGGGGACUCAUAAUCCCUUGGUCGGGGGUUCGAGUCCCUCCCGGACUACUA
rnacentral:tRNA from 1 species